rnacentral:rRNA from 1 species
UACAGAGGGUGCAAACGUUGUUCGGAUUUACUGGGCGUAAAGCGUGUGUAGGCGGCUUUGCAAGUCGGAUGUGAAAUCCCACGGCUCAACCGUGGAAGUGCAUCCGAAACGGCAUCGCUUGAGUCUCGGAGAGGAAGGUGGAAUGCUUGGUGUAGAGGUGAAAUUCGUAGAUAUCAAGCAGAACACCUGCGGCGAAGGCGGCCUUCUGGACGAUGACUGACGCUGAGACACGAAAGCGUGGGGAGCAAACAGG